rnacentral:snoRNA from 1 species
UGGGCCAGUGAUGAGCACUAGUGGCAUCUGAGUCUUGAAAGAUGAGUAGUAUAUAUCUGGAACUCUGAUGUCCAA